rnacentral:rRNA from 1 species
GACGAACGCUGGCGGCGUGCUUAACACAUGCAAGUCGAACGAUGAACCACUUCGGUGGGGAUUAGUGGCGAACGGGUGAGUAACACGUGGGCAAUCUGCCCUGCACUCUGGGACAAGCCCUGGAAACGGGGUCUAAUACCGGAUAUGAGCCUCCAUGGCAUCUUGGAGGCUGUAAAGCUCCGGCGGUGCAGGAUGAGCCCGCGGCCUAUCAGCUUGUUGGUGAGGAAUGGCUCACCAAGGCGACGACGGGUAGCCGGCCUGAGAGGGCGACCGGCCACACUGGGACUGAGACACGGCCCAGACUCCUACGGGAGGCAGCAGUGGGGAAUAUUGCACAAUGGGCGAAAGCCUGAUGCAGCGACGCCGCGUGAGGGAUGACGGCCU